AUUGAACGCUGGCGGCAUGCCUUACACAUGCAAGUCGAACGGCAGCACGGGAGCAAUCCUGGUGGCGAGUGGCGAACGGGUGAGUAAUACAUCGGAACGUGCCCAAUCGUGGGGGAUAACGCAGCGAAAGCUGUGCUAAUACCGCAUACGAUCUACGGAUGAAAGCAGGGGAUCGCAAGACCUUGCGCGAAUGGAGCGGCCGAUGGCAGAUUAGGUAGUUGGUGAGGUAAAGGCUCACCAAGCCGUCGAUCUGUAGCUGGUCUGAGAGGACGACCAGCCACACUGGGACUGAGACACGGCCCAGCCUCCUACGGGAGGCAGCAGUGGGGAAUUUUGGACGAUGGGCGAAAGCCUGAUCCAGCCAUGCCGCGUGCAGGAUGAAGGCCUUCGGGUUGUAAACUGCUUUUGUACGGAACGAAACGGCCUUUUCUAAUAAAGAGGGCUAAUGACGGUACCGUAAGAAUAAGCACCGGCUAACUACGUGCCAGCAGCCGCGGUAAUACGUAGGGUGCAAGCGUUAAUCGGAAUUACUGGGCGUAAAGCGUGCGCAGGCGGUUAUGUAAGACAGUUGUGAAAUCCCCGGGCUCAACCUGGGAACUGCAUCUGUGACUGCAUAGCUAGAGUACGGUAGAGGGGGAUGGAAUUCCGCGUGUAGCAGUGAAAUGCGUAGAUAUGCGGAGGAACACCGAUGGUGAAGGCAAUCCCCCUGGACCUGUACUGACGCUCAUGCACGAAAGCGUGGGGAGCAAACA
rnacentral:rRNA from 1 species